AUGCACCACACGUAAGCCGCGGUUCCUCCGGGCUGUGCGCACCCACCCGGCGACCGCUCGCGACGUUUUGUCAUCC
rfam:Xanthomonas fragariae strain PD5205 genome assembly, chromosome: 1